rnacentral:misc_RNA from 1 species
GGAUCAACCAGGUAGCAUUUCUCACGAAGUCGAUUGACGUGCAGCAAUCCACCACAAUCGAUAUGAACAUCGUUUGCACGUAGCGUUGAACGCUUUGUUUCGAGGGGCAAAUAGAAGAUGAGGCCUCGUACCCACAACAUGUUUUGCAUCCGAUAUUUCGAGCAUUACGCCUAGGGUGGCUAUGCGAGCUCAUGCGUACACACACGAGUGCCAACCACGACGCAUGCUAUGAGUUCCAAUCCGCAAAAGGGGACAAUUUCUCGUCGUAAUGCCUUAAAGAUAGGUAUCGAGUAUAGGAGGCUGCAAUCGGACAAAGCUUGAGAGACCUUGUGCUGAUGUUUGAAGAGGUGCGGUUGGGAUGUC